rnacentral:rRNA from 1 species
AUGCUCGUGGAGCGGCCGAUAUCUGAUUAGCUAGUUGGUAGGGUAAAAGCCUACCAAGGCAUCGAUCAGUAGCUGGUCUGAGAGGACGACCAGCCACACUGGAACUGAGACACGGUCCAGACUCCUACGGGAGGCAGCAGUGGGGAAUUUUGGACAAUGGGCGAAAGCCUGAUCCAUUAAAGGCGCGUGAGUGAAGAAGGCCUUCGGGUGUAAAUUAAAGAGUCAGGGAAGAAACGGUGAGAGCUAAUAUCUCUG